UGAAAAGCGAUGAAGAGGAAAAAGUACCAAGGGCUCUUAUGUCCAGAGAGCGAAGGGAAUGCUGAAACCUUUGCCUUAACCCCUUGUAUGAUAGUCACCUCGGAGCUGUUGAUCGAAAACCGGAUCUGAUUGUUGAUUUGGCGAGUAGUUCCAAACGGAUGGGCACACGUUAUCGUGCUGAAGUAAGGGAUUCCUUACUUCAUGAGGCUGGAAUCGUGAGAUUUCAGGCAAACCAGGGUGGUACCGCGAAAAUAACCCCUUUUCGUCCCUAUC
rnacentral:ncRNA from 1 species